GUCUCUGUAGCUCAGUUUGUAGAGCAACGGACUGAAAAUCCGUGUGUCGGCGGUUCGAUUCCGUCCCGAGCCA
rnacentral:tRNA from 1 species